rnacentral:rRNA from 1 species
GUGAGGAAUUUUCCGCAAUGGGCGAAAGCCUGACGGAGCAAUGCCGCGUGAAGGAUGAAGGCCUAUGGGUUGUAAACUUCUUUUCUCAGAAAAGAAUUAUGACGGUAUCUGAGGAAUAAGCAUCGGCUAACUCUGUGCCAGCAGCCGCGGUAAGACAGAGGAUGCAAGCGUUAUCCGGAAUGAUUGGACGUAAAGCGUCUGUAGGUUGUUUAAAAAGUAUUCUGUCAAAGAUUAGGGCUUAACCCUAGAUAGGCAGAAUAAACUUUUAAGCUAGAGUUUGGUAGAGGCAGAGGGAAUUCCCGGUGGAGCGGUGAAAUGCGUAGAUAUCGGGAGGAACACCAAAGGCGAAGGCACUCUGCUGGGCCAAUACUAACACUGAGAGACGAAAGCGAGGGGAGCAAAUGGGAUUAGAAACCCUGGUAGUCC